AGUGAACGCUGGCGGUAGGCCUAACACAUGCAAGUCGAACGGCAGCACAGAGGAGCUUGCUCCUUGGGUGGCGAGUGGCGGACGGGUGAGGAAUACAUCGGAAUCUACUCUGUCGUGGGGGAUAACGGAGGGAAACUUACGCUAAUACCGCAUACGACCUACGGGUGAAAGCAGGGGACCUUCGGGCCUUGCGCGAUUGAAUGAGCCGAUGUCGGAUUAGCUAGUUGGCGGGGUAAAGGCCCACCAAGGCGACGAUCCGUAGCUGGUCUGAGAGGAUGAUCAGCCAAACUGGAACUGUGACACGGUCCAUACUCCUACGGGAGGCAGCAGUGGGGAAUAUUGGACAAUGGGCGCAAGCCUGAUACAGCCAUACCGCGUGGGUGAAGAAGGCCUUCGGGUUGUAAAGCCCUUUUGUUGGGAAAGAAAUCCAGCUGGCUAAUACCCGGUUGGGAUGACGGUACCCAAAGAAUAAGCACCGGCUAACUUCGUGCCAGCAGCCGCCGUAA
rnacentral:rRNA from 1 species